rnacentral:rRNA from 1 species
UACGUAGGGGGCAAGCGUUGUCCGGAAUUACUGGGCGUAAAGCGUGCGCAGGCGGUUUUGUAAGCCAGAUGUGAAAGCCCCGGGCUCAACCUGGGAACUGCAUUUGUGACUGCAUCGCUGGAGUGCGGCAGAGGGGGAUGGAAUUCCGCGUGUAGCAGUGAAAUGCGUAGAUAUGCGGAGGAACACCGAUGGCGAAGGCAAUCCCCUGGGCCUGCACUGACGCUCAUGCACGAAAGCGUGGGGAGCAAACAGG